AGGAUCCGAGCGUUAUCCGGAUUUAUUGGGUUUAAAGGGUGGUCAGGUGGUUUAUUAAGUCGGGGGUGAAAUUCAGCGGCUCAACCGUUGGUUGUCCUUCGAUACUGGUAAACUUGAAUGUAGUUGAAGAAGGCGGAAUGUGGCAAGUAGCGGUGAAAUGCAUAGAUAUGCCACAGAACACCUAUUGCGAAGGCAGUUUUCUAAACUAUUAUUGACACUGAACCACGAAAGCAUGGGGAUCGA
rnacentral:rRNA from 1 species